UACGGAGGGUGCAAGCGUUAUCCGGAAUCACUGGGUUUAAAGGGUGCGUAGGCGGCCUAGUAAGUCAGAGGUGAAAGGCUAGAGCUUAACUUUAGAAUUGCCUUUGAUACUGCUGGGCUUGAAUUAGGAUGAGGUUAGCGGAAUGUGGCAUGUAGCGGUGAAAUGCAUAGAUAUGCCAUAGAACACCGAUUGCGAAGGCAGCUGGCUAGACCUAAAUUGACGCUGAGGCACGAAAGCGUGGGGGAGCGAAUAGG
rnacentral:rRNA from 1 species